rnacentral:rRNA from 1 species
GACGAACGCUGGCGGCGUGCUUAACACAUGCAAGUCGAACGAUGAAGCUGGAGCUUGCUCCGGUGGAUUAGUGGCGAACGGGUGAGUAACACGUGAGCAAUCUGCCCUUGACUCUGGGAUAACUGCGGGAAACUGUAGCUAAUACCGGAUACGAGGCUCGAAGGCAUCUUCGGGUCUGGAAAGAAUUUCGGUCAAGGAUGAGCUCGCGGCCUAUCAGCUUGUUGGUGAGGUAAUGGCGCACCAAGGCGACGACGGGUAGCCGGCCUGAGAGGGUGACCGGCCACACUGGGACUGAGACACGGACCAGAAUCCUACGGGAGGCAGCAGUGGGGAAUAUUGCACAAUGGGCGAAAGCCUGAUGCAGCAACGCCGCGUGAGGGAUGAAGGCCUUCGGGUUGUAAACCUCUUUUAGCAGGGAAGAAGCGAAAGUGACGGUACCUGCAGAAAAAGCACCGGCUAACUACGUGCCAGCCGCCGCCGUAA